rnacentral:lncRNA from 1 species
GGCUGCGGGAACGUGGUUUCCUACAGACCCUGGAACAGUAUCUCUACCAGUUCAAAAUCCUCCAGACCAAGUACCGCAAAGUCAGGAGCACCCACACCCCAGGCACCUGCCCCUUCGGUGAUGAGGUGGAUGCCCUGAUGAGUCCCUGGACCUUUGCCAUCACCUGACAUCUUGGAGGUGGCAGGAGGCAUUCUGUGGAUUAGAGGAGUCUCCAGAGAGAACCAGAAAGCAGGGACAGGGAUGGUAGUGAAAUGAUGGAACCCCAAGGGGAGGCCAGGAGUCUUGGCCCCCAGGCUUGGAGGAGAAUCCCAGUGACCUUCUGGGACCUUCCUUUCUCAUCCCACCUGCCACGUGCAGAUAUGAGGACAGAAGGCGCAUUACCUAAGGACCCCAUGUCUCUCCUCGCUCGUCCUUGAGCAGGACUCCCAGUUCCCCUGCCAGAUGGGCUUUUGAGUCUGGGGAGAAGCAAAGAACUCUGGAAUGACAGUCUCCAGGAUCCCGAGGAGAUUUGGAAGACUUCCUGUGCAGAUCUUGAAGCAAGGACAGAAAGAGGAGAAUUCAAGCCAGGACAUUUCGGAGGAAGCAGAGCUACCCGGAGUGUUGUUAGGAAGAUCCAAAAUGGACCUUUCCCAAUACCUUCGCUGGAGGAAAGAUGGGGGAAGUGAAUAUGGGGCAGAGACGCAACGGGAAAUGGCCUUAUUCGUUGGACAAGAGUCCCUCUCUCCUGUCCUCAGGGAACCCAUGUUGGUGAAAAACCCAGUAUCUGCUGUGCCUGUGGGAAACGUUUCAGCCUGAGUUCCCACUUAGCUGUCCCCAGAUUAGCCCACCUCCAUACUGGGGAGACGCGCUGUAAGUGUGGGGAGCGCUGGAGAAGCUUCAGCCAGAGCUCCAGCCUUAUUAUGCAUCAGAGAAUCCACACGGGAGAGAAACCCCCUAAGUGUGGUGAGUGUGGCGAGCGUUUCACCAGCAGCUCGCACUUCGGGGCACACUGGUGAACGCACACUGGCAAACACCCCGCCGGUGCCCUGACUGUGGGAAAAGGUUCAGUAAGAGUUCCACCCUCAGAGCACUGUAAACCAGCUAUAAUGGAAAAAAUAAAAGUCAUCAGGAAAAAAAAAUAAGAGUUCCA